UGGCGAGGUAGCUCAGUCGGUAGAGCGAGAGACUGAAAAUCUCUGCGUCGGCGGUUCAAUUCCGUCCCUCGCCACCCA
rnacentral:tRNA from 1 species